UACGUAGGGUGCGAGCGUUAAUCGGAAUUACUGGGCGUAAAGCGUGCGCAGGCGGUUUUGUAAGCCAGAUGUGAAAGCCCCGGGCUUAACCUGGGAAUGGCAUUUGGGACUGCAAGGCUUGAGUGCGGCAGAGGAGACUGGAAUUCCUGGUGUAGCAAUGAAAUGCGUAGAUAUCAGGAGGAAUACCGAUGGCGAAGGCAGGUCUCUGGGCUGACACUGACGCUCAUGCACGAAAGCGUGGGGAGCAAACAGG
rnacentral:rRNA from 1 species